rnacentral:rRNA from 1 species
UACGUAGGGCGCAAGCGUUAUCCGGAAUUAUUGGGCGUAAAGAGCUCGUAGGCGGUUUGUCGCGUCUGCCGUGAAAAGUCCGGGGCUCAACUCCGGAUCUGGCGGUGGGUACGGGGCAGACUAGAGUGAUGUAGGGGAGACUGGAAUUCCUGGGUGUAGCGGUGAAAUGCGCAGAUAUCAGGAGGAACACCGAUGGCGAAGGCAGGUCUCUGGGCAUUAACUGACGCUGAGGAGCGAAAGCAUGGGGAGCGAACAGG